GCUUAACACAUGCAAGUCGAGGGGCAUCAGGAAGAAAGCUUGCUUUCUUUGCUGGCGACCGGCGCACGGGUGAGUAACACGUAUCCAACCUGCCCUUUACUCGGGGAUAGCCUUUCGAAAGAAAGAUUAAUACCCGAUAGCAUAAUGAUUCCGCAUGGUUUCAUUAUUAAAGGAUUCCGGUAAAGGAUGGGGAUGCGUUCCAUUAGGUUGUUGGUGAGGUAACGGCCCACCAAGCCUUCGAUGGAUAGGGGUUCUGAGAGGAAGGUCCCCCACAUUGGAACUGAGACACGGUCCAAACUCCUACGGGAGGCAGCAGUGAGGAAUAUUGGUCAAUGGGCGCUAGCCUGAACCAGCCAAGUAGCGUGAAGGAUGAAGGCUCUAUGGGUCGUAAACUUCUUUUAUAUAAGAAUAAAGUGCAGUAUGUAUACUGUUUUGUAUGUAUUAUAUGAAUAAGGAUCGGCUAACUCCGUGCCAGCAGCCGCGGUAAUACGGAGGAUCCGAGCGUUAUCCGGAUUUAUUGGGUUUAAAGGGAGCGUAGGUGGACUGGUAAGUCAGUUGUGAAAGUUUGCGGCUCAACCGUAAAAUUGCAGUUGAUACUGUCAGUCUUGAGUACAGUAGAGGUGGGCGGAAUUCGUGGUGUAGCGGUGAAAUGCUUAGAUAUCACGAAGAACUCCGAUUGCGAAGGCAGCUCACUGGACUGCAACUGACACUGAUGCUCGAAAGUGUGGGUAUCAAACAGGAUUAGAUACCCUGGUAGUCCACACAGUAAACGAUGAAUACUCGCUGUUUGCGAUAUACAGUAAGCGGCCAAGCGAAAGCAUUAAGUAUUCCACCUGGGGAGUACGCCGGCAACGGUGAAACUCAAAGGAAUUGACGGGGGCCCGCACAAGCGGAGGAACAUGUGGUUUAAUUCGAUGAUACGCGAGGAACCUUACCCGGGCUUAAAUUGCAGUGGAAUGAUGUGGAAACAUGUCAGUGAGCAAUCACCGCUGUGAAGGUGCUGCAUGGUUGUCGUCAGCUCGUGCCGUGAGGUGUCGGCUUAAGUGCCAUAACGAGCGCAACCCUUAUCUUCAGUUACUAACAGGUUAUGCUGAGGACUCUGGAGAGACUGCCGUCGUAAGAUGUGAGGAAGGUGGGGAUGACGUCAAAUCAGCACGGCCCUUACGUCCGGGGCUACACACGUGUUACAAUGGGGGGUACAGAAGGCAGCUACCUGGUGACAGGAUGCUAAUCCCAAAAGCCUCUCUCAGUUCGGAUCGAAGUCUGCAACCCGACUUCGUGAAGCUGGAUUCGCUAGUAAUCGCGCAUCAGCCACGGCGCGGUGAAUACGUUCCCGGGCCUUGUACACACCGCCCGUCAAGCCAUGGGAGCCGGGGGUACCUGAAGUACGUAACCGCAAGGAUCGUCCUAGGGUAAAACUGGUGACUGGGGC
rnacentral:rRNA from 1 species